UGAGAGAUCUGUUCCCAAACACAUCGGGUGUUAUCAUCUGAUCGUCCUUGAACUCUCCUUCAACGACAUGCCCGUCCUUAAAGGUGGCGCCGCCGGCGUAGAAGAACGUUCCCUGUCCGUGUCUCUGACCCUGAACGAAAUCCCCCGUGUACCGGUUGCUUCUGCAAUAUUGGGAUAUAUCCGUCCGCCUCAGGAUCCACACGCAGAGUGGAGAAGAGCUGCUGCAGACUGACUGUGGUGCCCUGCUGACGGGGAUGAGGUGACCGCUGCACCAUGUGACCUCUGUGGUCAAA